ensembl:lincRNA
CCGUGUGAAAUACGGAAAGAUACGAGAAACUACCCACCCGAAUUUAUCAGAGGAGUGCGAGGACGGCUUCACAGCAGCAAGUCUGGUUCCAGGCAGGGGCCUGAGCAACCACGACAGGGCGAUUGUCAGGUACACAGGUCUCUCUCUCCCCGCUAACGCUGGAGAACGGCUGCCCGCCUGGCAUGGUGGCCGUUCCCAGGAGGUCACCUGGAGAGCGAGUUCCUUUGUUUUGCCUUCACCACCUCUAGGGUGUGACCCCUGCAGUCGGCUCCAAGAUGAUUCCAACCACUGCUAUGCAUCAGUUCUCAAACAGGAGCUGCAAGAGAGACUGGAACGCACAGAGGGGCAGCCGAUGGUGAGGAGCAGCACACAGCAGAUCCGCCCCAUGAAUGUCAGCUUGGCCAGAGUUUACAGCGUGGGAGGCUGCGUGGGGGCUUAUUCUGGACAGCCGUGUGCUGCGCUCACAGCCAGGGCUUCCAAGGCUGAGAGAGAACGAAUUUCCACCUAAUUACUACCUUGUUUCAGAGCUUGGGUCUCCUUGGAACAUGGGCUGCUCUCCCAGAUGUGCAGGUGGCUCCCACACGCCAGCGGCAGACACUGAUCCCCCAGCUCAUCCAGCGCAUCAUUGUGGCGAGAGGAAUCAGAAGGUGACAGACUGCAGACAGGGAGAUGGCCCUUGGUGGGCGUGGCCUAAUCAGAUGAGGAGCAGAGAUCCUCCAACAGGAAGAUUUAAACUCUCUGGAGGACUCAGAAGUCCAGCAAAUGAGCAUCCACCCUGGCUGGAAACCUGGACAUUUUCCCUUCCAACAGAAGCAGCGUCCUCGGGGCCCUGGGGCGGCACCCAGGCUCCACAUGCCAGGUCCAGCAGCAGGAGCUUCCGUGGGCUCAAUGGAAAUGAACGUUGGGUUGGGCAGGGCUGCCUCUGGGCCCCCUAUCUGCUCAGUGACACCCUGGAUGCUGUGUAAAGCACACUGUGCACAUGGCUUGAGGGACUUCCCUUGGGAGGUCAGAGGACUCACCUAAUACAUUAAAGACUCACAGAUGUGCUGCCAAGUGUGUUAGAGCAGAGUGCGGAAGCUCAUGGUCAGGGCAGCAUGGGUCCACAGGGGUGGAGCUCAGCAGGGGACUGCAGGGU